GCAAAGAUAAAAACACAACGCAGAGGCCGCCGCGCAGGAAACACACCGCCAGGCGCCCUGCAGAGCCGGUAGGUAGUCCGGCCGCACCGGAAGCCGUCCGGUGUAAGUAACCCUCCCUCCUUGGGUCGUCCGUUCUUUGUGCAUU
rnacentral:ncRNA from 1 species